ACCGUAGGAGACAACCGUUAUCCGGAGUUACUGGGCGUAAAGGGCGUGUAGGUGGUUUCGUAAGUCUGGCGUGAAAUAUCUCGGCUUAACCGAGGCAGGUCGUCGGAUACUGCGGGACUAGAGGACGGUAGAGGCGUGUGGAAUUCCGGGUGUAGUGGUGAAAUGCGUAGAGAUCCGGAGGAACACCAGUGGCGAAGGCGACACGCUGGGCCGUACCUGACACUGAUGCGCGACAGCAUGGGGAGCAAACAGG
rnacentral:rRNA from 1 species